rnacentral:misc_RNA from 1 species
CUGUUUAGGUGCAUUUGAAUUCUAUUUUUUUUCGAACAAAUCCCGUCAAAGAUUAUAUAAGAUCACAUCAAAGAUGCUACAUAAACUAUAUCAUCUGAAUAUAUCAUAUAACAAUGCCUCUAACUAAACUUAGAAUAUAGAACUGCCUAAAACAAAUAGAAUUCAAAUGCACCUAAACAGACUGAGUAAAAAAAUCAAUAAAAUAAGAGUUUUGGAGAGUCAGGUCAGACUCCAGAUAUCCUAUCUGACAACAUACCGCAACUACAAUUUUACACAAGAGGAGUCCCUUGCACAAGAUGGCUGCACAAUGGCCAAAAUCACUUCUCAGUCAUUUGUUGCAGGAGGGUUAAUAUCUGAUGCAUUAUCUUUCUGGUUUGGAGAAGGCAUUGUUCCCCUCAUUUUCAAAUCUCCAACUGGCUGCUGCUGUUGUUCUUGCUGCUGCUGCAAUUGUUGCUGCUGAAGCUGAAGCAGUUGAUGCUGCUGGAAUUGAUGCUGCUGUUUCUGCGAAUGAAUUUGGAGCUGCUGAAACUGCUGUGUGGUCAAAAGAGUAUGCAUGGCAUGCUUGUUGGGAUAGAACUGCUGGCCCCCUCCAAAACUGCGGAUGCAAAGUUCAUCAUGGGUCCACCAUUUGGCAUAGCUUGACCAGUCAAUACCUUCAGAUGCUGAAUUUCUUCUUUCAAUGCAUCAUUUAAUGCAUC